GCCUAACUGCAAACCAACCCGCCAAACAAGUACAAGCACAGCUCUAAACUUUAAGGACCUGGCGGUACUCUACAUCAACCUAGAGGGGCCUGUCUGAUAAUCGACAACCCGCGAUAGACCCAACCCAUUCUAGCCUACCAAGUCUAUAUACCGCCGUCCCAAGCACAUUUUACAAAAAAUGCAGCCGAAAAGCCCAGCACUAGCACGUCAGGUCAAGGUGUAGCACAUGAAUCGGACAAGAUUGGCCACAGUACCACACCAACAACUCUACCUACAAUGAAACACUCAGGAUAUUAACGGAUUUAGCAGUAAGGGGGUCAAUUGAACGCCUCCCUGAAGCCCCACCCAUCACAGCCCUUGAGUACGC
rnacentral:rRNA from 1 species